rnacentral:lncRNA from 1 species
CCGUCCUUCCUUUUCUUGACACUUACUCGGUUGGGCCAAGUAAUAUUAAGUACAAAAUUUGCACUAAUUUUUCUGCAAAAAGAGGGUAGGAUAAUGAGCAAACUUCAUUCAUAGAUAUCCGAAAAAAACUAAUGAAAAAAACCAGUCCCAAAAUAAAUCAUUCAAUUAACAGCCAAAAACUAAUUAAAAGGCUAGCCCAAGAUCACUGCCACUCAAAACCCUAGCUUCCUUCUCCCUCAGUCGAAGAAGACGAUGUCGUCUCAAAUAUCCAUUUGUAUUACUCCCAUUUUGACGGAUACCAUUUGAGCCUGAACCAGAACCCGAAUUGGUAUUUUGAUUCCUUGCAAAUUCAUGCAACUGCAAAUUGAACCCAUUAUUAAUUUAUUCAAAGCUUCCAGUAAAGUCUCAAAUUACAACACGUUUGACUCCAACAACACUGAAUUGCUCGUUAGUCAUACCAAUCAUUCUACUACCGUUCUUAUCAAAGCUGUAAUUGCAAGUAUACCAAAU